rnacentral:rRNA from 1 species
AUGAUCCCGACCGUUUGGAAGAUUUGGGCUCCUCCUAAAUGUAAGUUCUUCGCAUGGCUGGCAAUCAACAAUAGGAUUUGGACGGCGGAUAGGCUUCAACGUCGUGGGUGGCCAAACUGUAAUCUUUGUCCACUAUGCAAACAAGUCCAGGAGUCGGCGGCCCACCUACUAUUCCAAUGCCGAUACACUAUUAGAGUUUGGCGCAUGGUCAAAGAUUGGCUUGGUCUCCAGGAUGUGCAUCCUUCUAAUUGGAGUGACGCGACUUCCGUCAAAGAGUGAUGGAGCCACAAUGCUAACAGGAAGACCCAAUCGCGAAAGCCACUUGCUUCCUUGAUGCUUCUCAUCUGUUGGGAAUUGUGAAAAGAGAGAAAUGCACGGAUCUUCCGUAACGAGGCCGUUCCAGUGGGUGUCAUUGUCACUAGGAUUAAGGAGGAAACCUCGCUUUGGAGUAUUGCGGGGGCGAAGCACUUGAGUAAUGUAAUGCCGCGAGAGUGA